UCAGGAAAAACAAAGUAAAAAAAAAUCCGCUGCACAAACCGGUCUGAUAAACGCGUCGGGUUCGGGGUUUUUCCCCUUUCCAAAGGCACCGCAUUUCCAAGCGUCCAGCGGGUUCCAGCAUUGGAGACAAAUAAAUAAAUGGCCAAAAAGGAGAAGGCAGGAAGGGAGCAGGAUACAGGCGUGUAGCUAAAUAAACAGAGUCGCAGGGGGACAAAGAGGAUGGGAAAAAGGGAAGAUACAGAUACCCCCCAAACCAACACCCCCUGACCAAUUUUGCGGCGCUGGGGAAGCCAGCAGCUGGGGAACAGCUGCACGAUUAUUGGGUGAACCGGGAGGGGAAAGGAGCACUCGGAGGGAUCAUUAGUGAAGGGACGGGGCACGGGAAGGGCUCCCGGGAACCGGGGGAGAGAACGCGGCUGCCGGCACCCGGAGCAGCUGCUGAAGGGUGACCUGGCUGUGCAGCAUGCAGGAAACAGAGGGUCGGUGUGUCGGUGAUGCUGCAGGAAGAGCCCAAGUGGGGGAAGCUGAAGACGUGAUCUCCAGGCCAAAAAGAGUCAGUCCAGCUCCCCAGCAAUCUGCAGCCCUGGGGAAAAAUGGCCAACAGGUGAGCACAGAGUGGCAGGGGGAAAGUUUUACUGAGA